UUGGUUGUCUUAUUUUAUAAUGUUUGAUUUUGGAAUUUUAAUAAACUUUUGUUACCACUUGAUGAGAAGGAUAAUAAAAAUAUAUCUGUUUGAGAAUGUAUCAUUGUUUUGCAUUGAAUUCAAGAUGAUCUCUUUUUGUGCAAAGGUGAAAAGAAUAUCUUUGAUGAUGAUCUACUGAGACCAGACUAGGCUGAGUCAUUGUUAAAUGAAUGCGUUAAUUGAGCAUGGUGAUUAUAACUAUUUGAGAGCUGGUAUUGUAUGUAAUCAAUGUGAUGAUUGUGAACCUUAAACAGUUAGCAGAUGAUUAUGAUCUGUGCCGAUGGAUGCUCUAUGAUUGAUCGAAGAAUGGUAAGUUAUCUGUCUAUUCUUAAUGUUUCUUUCUUUUAUGCGUGUAUGUGUGCGUUCAUGUUCAUAUGUGUAAUGUUCCUUACCAAUCUCAUGGGUGAGACGUGCAGUGCAUGUGAGGAAAUAAAGGCAUUUAUGGAGUCAGAGUUACCAACUUUUAAAGAGAAAAACCCUCAACUGGAGGUAGUUACUGAACUCAUUCGUGGGCAGCAUCCACAUUUGAAAGGCUUUUAUAGUAAGUUGCUCUUUCUUGGAUGAGUUUCAGACAUGAUGCAUUCGCGUAUGCAAUGUUUUUAACCAUGUCUCAAAACAUGUAUCUUGCCAAUUUCUCAGAGAACAAAAAUGAACGGGUGGUAUGUGUGAAGAAUAUGACUCCUGAAGAUAUCCUUCUUUAUGCAACCAGGCUAAGAAACGCAUUGGGAAGAAAGGUGGUGAAAUUGAGGACAAGGCAUGUAACUAAACACCCUAGUGUGCAAGGUACAUGGACAACUGAUGUGAAAUUUUGAGACAUAGUAGUACCAAGUUCUUCAUAAUUUUUCUGUAUGUUUCUUUAUUGUUCUAUGUAGUAAUGAUGGCAACUUUGCUAAAACAUUCACUCUUUGGAGGUGAAUGAGAUUGUUGUGUAAUAAACAAAGGCUAAUGAUGUUGUAAUAGAUGAUUGGACCCAAAUAUUUAAUAAUUUUAGAGCA